rnacentral:lncRNA from 1 species
ACCGGACGCGCCCGCUUCUCGCUGGAGUGCGCACCGAGCGGCAGUGACUUCGCCGCUGCUGUAGUUCCCCGGCUGGAUGCGGUGACUGGUGCCAGUGCUCAGGCGCCCGCUGCCCUUGACCUCCCGCCCCGCGAGCCCUAACUCAGCGCAGGAGGACCGGCUGCCGCCGCCGCCGCCGCCAGGUCUCUGAAGGUCCAGACAGCACUGAUGGCGAGCUUUGGGUCCGCACACUCUGGAAAGAAGAGAGAAGUGAAGGCUCUAGGUAGGGAGAACAGAGAGCCACUGGGCACAGGCUUCUCUCCUCUUGUUUAAAGAAGCCCAGGGAGGGAUAGAGCUCUGACUGGACAGAAGACUGUACUCUGCAGCCUGCCUUCCUAGAGUUGGGUUGUCACUGUCCUGCAGGGGGCAGCAGCCACCAGCAAACACCACUGCCUGCAGGAGCCUGGGCUGACUGGUUGGGACUCACCGAAGAUCCCUUCUUCCUGGGCGGUGGCCUGCAGGAACUGGAACAGCUGCUCUGUGUAGCCCAACUCUGCAGAAGAGAGAAGACCUAGACCUGGCACCCAGCACAGACACAGCCUGCCUCGAGGACUGCAAGGGAACAAGGGCCUCACCAGUAUCGGGCAGCUGGCCCUGGCGGAGG